rnacentral:rRNA from 1 species
GUAAUGAUGGCCAGGCUGUCUCCACCCGAGACUCAGUGAAAUUGAACUCGCUGUGAAGAUGCAGUGUACCCGCGGCAAGACGGAAAGACCCCGUGAACCUUUACUAUAGCUUGACACUGAACAUUGAGCCUUGAUGUGUAGGAUAGGUGGGAGGCUUUGAAGUGUGGACGCCAGUCUGCAUGGAGCCGACCUUGAAAUACCACCCUUUAAUGUUUGAUGUUCUAACGUGGACCCGUAAUCCGGGUUGCGGACAGUGUCUGGUGGGUAGUUUGACUGGGGCGGUCUCCUCCUAAAGAGUAACGGAGGAGCACGAAGGUUGGCUAAUCCUGGUCGGACAUCAGGAGGUUAGUGCAAUGGCAUAAGCCAGCUUGACUGCGAGCGUGACGGCGCGAGCAGGUGCGAAAGCAGGUCAUAGUGAUCCGGUGGUUCUGAAUGGAAGGGCCAUCGCUCAACGGAUAAAAGGUACUCCGGGGAUAACAGGCUGAUACCGCCCAAGAGUUCAUAUCGACGGCGGUGUUUGGCACCUCGAUGUCGGCUCAUCACAUCCUGGGGCUGAAGUAGGUCCCAAGGGUAUGGCUGUUCGCCAUUUAAAGUGGUACGCGAGCUGGGUUUAGAACGUCGUGAGACAGUUCGGUCCCUAUCUGCCGUGGGCGCUGGAGAACUGAGGGGGGCUGCUCCUAGUACGAGAGGACCGGAGUGGACGCAUCACUGGUGUUCGGGUUGUCAUGCCAAUGGCACUGCCCGGUAGCUAAAUGCGGAAGAGAUAAGUGCUGAAAGCAUCUAAGCACGAAACUUGCCCCGA